UAAAACGUAGGAGACUAGCGUUAUCCGGAUUUACUGGGCGUAAAGCGUGUGCAGGCGGUUCGGCAAGUUGGAUGUGAAAUCUCCCGGCUCAACUGGGAGGGGUCGUUCAAUACUACCGAACUUGAGGGCAUCAGAGGAAGGUGGAAUUCCGGGUGUAGUGGUGAAAUGCGUAGAUAUCCGGAGGAACACCAGUGGCGAAGGCGGCCUUCUGGGAUGAUCCUGACGCUCAGACACGAAAGCUAGGGGAGCGAACGGGAUUAGAGACCCCGGUAGUCCUAGCUGUAAACGAUGUAGACUUGGCGUCGGAGGGUUCAAAACCUUCGGUGUCGUAGCUAACGCGAUAAGUCUACCGCCUGGGGACUACGGCCGCAAGGUUA
rnacentral:rRNA from 1 species